AUACUUACCUGGCAGGGGAGAUAUAUUAUAUGAUCAGCGAAGGUGGUUCACAUCGCAGGCGAGGCUCAGCCAUUGCACUUCGGUUGUGCUGCUGACUCGCACCCCCAAAUGUGGAAUUUUACUGCAUAAUUUGUGGUAGUGGGGAUCACACCAGCGCCUCU